UGUGUCCGCCUGUAGCCCCCCAUAUUCAGAAGUUUUAUAUAGGAAUAGUACUGUGUCCAGCUGUGUGCACCUGUAGCCAGCAGAUUUUAUAAGUUUUAUAUAGAAAUUGCGUUGUGUCCACUUGUGUCCGCCUGUAUCCCCUCAUUUCUAGAAGUUUUAUAUAGAAAUAACGUUGUGUCCAGCUGUGUCCACCUGUAGCCAGC
rnacentral:lncRNA from 1 species